rnacentral:rRNA from 1 species
GUCGUGAGAUGUGGGUUAAGUCCCGCAACGAGCGCAACCCCUGUGGUUAGUUGCCAGCAAGUAGCGUUGGGCACUCUAGCCAGACUGCCGGUGAUAAAUCGGAGGAAGGUGGGGACGACGUCAAAUCAUCAUGCCCUUUAUGUCCUGGGCUACACACGUACUACAAUGGCCGUUACAACGGGAAGCGAAGGAGCAAUCCGGAGCAAAUCCCUUAAAGGCGGUCCCAGUUCAGAUUGUGGGCUGAAACUCGCCCACAUGAAGGCGGAAUUGCUAGUAAUUGCAGAUCAGCAUGCUGCCAGUCGAUACGUUCCGGGCCUU